rnacentral:rRNA from 1 species
CUACGGGUCGCAGCAGUGGGGAAUAUUGCACAAUGGGCGCAAGCCUGAUGCAGCCAUGCCGCGUGUAUGAAGAAGGCCUUCGGGUUGUAAAGUACUUUCAGCGGGGAGGAAGGGAGUAAAGUUAAUACCUUUGCUCAUUGACGUUACCCGCAGAAGAAGCACCGGCUAACUCCGUGCCAGCAGCCGCGGUAAUACGGAGGGUGCAAGCGUUAAUCGGAAUUACUGGGCGUAAAGCGCACGCAGGCGGUUUGUUAAGUCAGAUGUGAAAUCCCCGGGCUCAACCUGGGAACUGCAUCUGAUACUGGCAAGCCUGAGUCUCGUAGAGGGGGGUAGAAUUCCAGGUGUAGCGGUGAUAUGCGUAGAGAUCUGGAGGAAUACCGGUGGCGAAGGCGGCCCCCUGGACGAAGACUGACGCUCAGGUGCGAAAGCGUGGGGAGCAAACAGGAUUAGAUACCCCAGUAGUC